rnacentral:rRNA from 1 species
UGGGGAAUAUUGCACAAUGGGCGCAAGCCUGAUGCAGCCAUGCCGCGUGUAUGAAGAAGGCCUUCGGGUUGUAAAGUACUUUCAGCGGGGAGGAAGGGAGUAAAGUUAAUACCUUUGCUCAUUGACGUUACCCGCAGAAGAAGCACCGGCUAACUCCGUGCCAGCAGCCGCGGUAAUACGGAGGGUGCAAGCGUUAAUCGGAAUUACUGGGCGUAAAGCGCACGCAGGCGGUUUGUUAAGUCAGAUGUGAAAUCCCCGGGCUCAACCUGGGAACUGCAUCUGAUACUGGCAAGCUUGAGUCUCGUAGAGGGGGGGAGAAUUCCAGGUGUAGCGGUGAAAUGCGUAGAGAUCUGGAGGAAUACCGGUGGCGAAGGCGGCCCCCUGGACGAAGACUGACGCUCAGGUGCGAAAGCGUGGGGAGCAAACAGG